rnacentral:rRNA from 1 species
GACCAGACUCCUACGGGAGGCAGCAGUGGGGAAUAUUGCACAAUGGGGGAAACCCUGAUGCAGCGACGCCGCGUGAGUGAAGAAGUAUUUCGGUACGUAAAGCUCUAUCAGCAGGGAAGAAAAUGACGGUACCUGACCAAGAAGCCCCGGCUAACUACGUGCCAGCAGCCGCGGUAAUACGUAGGGGGCAAGCGUUAUCCGGAUUUACUGGGUGUAAAGGGAGCGUAGACGGCAUGGCAAGUCAGAUGUGAAAGCCCGGGGCUCAACCCCGGGACUGCAUUUGAAACUGUCAGGCUGGAGUGCAGGAGAGGUAAGUGGAAUUCCUAGUGUAGCGGUGAAAUGCGUAGAUAUUAGGAGGAACACCAGUGGCGAAGGCGGCUUACUGGACUGUAACUGACGUUGAGGCUCGAAAGCGUGGGGAGCAAACAGGAUUAGAUACCCCGGUAU